GCCAGGCCGGAGCUGGUGCUGGUGCUGGUGUCAGUGCCGGAGGCUAAGGCUCAGUUGAGGCAGUUAGUCAACUUGGUUAGUUAGUUACUGGUGUGUCUGCCUAGCCCUUGCGCUUUACCGUCAUCAGCACGAAGAUGAUGAUCAGCUUUCGGCCAUCAUCAUGAUCACCUCCUGAAAUCUAUCUCCAACUUGAUAAAUAAAGAUGUGAGGCGUGAGUGAAGAACUCUUGUCCAGAAUUAUGCGA